rnacentral:rRNA from 1 species
CGCCCAGACUCCUACGGGAGGCAGCAGUGAGGAAUAUUGGUCAAUGGUCGGGAGACUGAACCAGCCAAGCCGCAUGAGGGAGGAAGGUACAGAGUAUCGUAAACCUCUUUUGUCAGGGAACAAAGGCGGGGACGUGUCCCCGGAUGAGUGUACCUGAAGAAAAGGCAUCGGCUAACUCCGUGCCAGCAGCCGCGGUAAUACGGAGGAUGCGAGCGUUAUCCGGAUUUAUUGGGUUUAAAGGGUGCGCAGGCGGUCUGUUAAGUCAGCGGACAAAGCCGGGGGCACAACGCCGGCCCGCCGUUGGAACUGGCAGUCUCGAGUUGGAGAGAAGUAUGCGGAAUGCGCGGUGUAGCGGUGAAAUGCAUAGAUAUCGCGCAGAACUCCGAUUGCGAAGGCAGCAUGCCGGCUCCACACUGACGCUGAGGCACGAAAGCGUGGGUAUCGAACAGGAUUAGAUACCCCAGUA